AAUGAACGCUGGCGGCGCGCCUAAUACAUGCAAGUCGAGCGAGAAGACGUAGCAAUACGUUUGUAAAGCGGCGAACGGGUGAGGAAUACAUGGGUAACCUACCCUCGAGUGGGGAAUAACUAGCCGAAAGGUUAGCUAAUACCGCGUACGCUCCUUGGACUUCGGUUCAGGGAGGAAAGCGAUACCGUGGGUAUCGCGCUCUUGGUUGGGCUCAUGUCCUAUCAGCUUGUUGGGAGGUAACGGCUCACCAAGGCUUCGACGGGUAGCUGGUCUGAGAGGACGAUCAGCCACACUGGCACUGCGACACGGGCCAGACUCCUACGGGAGGCAGCAGUAAGGAAUAUUGCGCAAUGGGCGAAAGCCUGACGCAGCGACGCCGCGUGGGGGAGUGAAGGUCUUCGGAUUGUAAACCCCUUUCGGGAGGGAAGAUGGAACGAGCAAUCGUUCGGACGGUACCUCCAGAAGCAGCCACGGCUAACUUCGUGCCAGCAGCCGC
rnacentral:rRNA from 1 species